AGAGUUUGAUCCUGGCUCAGGAUGAACGCUGGCGGCAUGCCUAAUACAUGCAAGUCGAACGGAGCGAAUAUGGAAGCUUGCUUCUGUAAGAGCUCAGUGGCGAACGGGUGAGUAACACGUAGGUAACCUGCCCAUGUGCCCGGGAUAACUGCUGGAAACGGUAGCUAAAACCGGAUAGGUGAAUAGGAGGCAUCUCGUAUUCAUUAAAGGACCUGCAAAGGUGCGAACAUGGAUGGACCUGCGGCGCAUUAGCUGGUUGGAGUGGUAACGGCACACCAAGGCGACGAUGCGUAGCCGACCUGAGAGGGCGAACGGCCACAUUGGGACUGAGACACGGCCCAAACUCCUACGGGAGGCAGCAGUAGGGAAUUUUCGUCAAUGGGGGGAACCCUGAACGAGCAAUGCCGCGUGAGUGAAGAAGGUCUUCGGAUCGUAAAGCUCUGUUGUAAGUGAAGAACGGUCAGUAGAGGAAAUGAUACUGAAGUGACGGUAGCUUACCAGAAAGCCACGGCUAACUACGUGCCAGCAGCCGCGGUAAUACGUAGGUGGCGAGCGUUAUCCGGAAUCAUUGGGCGUAAAGGGUGCGCAGGUGGUACAUUAAGUCCGAAGUAAAAGGCAGCAGCUCAACUGCUGUUGGCUUUGGAAACUGGUGAACUGGAGUGCAGGAGAGGGCGAUGGAAUUCCAUGUGUAGCGGUAAAAUGCGUAGAUAUAUGGAGGAACACCAGUGGCGAAGGCGGUCGCCUGGCCUGCAACUGACACUGAGGCACGAAAGCGUGGGGAGCAAAUAGGAUUACAUACCCUAGUAGUCCACGCC
rnacentral:rRNA from 1 species